GGAAGGCAGUCACUGUUUACACGCGGUUUGAGAAUGACGGGGUUUUGUGCGAAGAACGAGUUUCGGCGGAAUAAACGUGAACAAAAUGCAAUAGACCUUGUUAAUAUCGAAUUGGACUACGAUCUUCUGUGCGCUUUACGGCCUUCAUCAUGUUACGCUGUUGAAGUAGUAACUGGCAAAGGCAAUCAAUAAAGAAGAGUUGAUAACAGACAAAAAACACUCUCCUUUCUAUGGUACCAGCCAACAAUGCGAAACGGGAAACCAUCCACCACAUGUUUCGGGUUUCGAAUUCGAUUUCCUCCAUCACCAUUUCGGGGCCGCUUUUGUCCAUCGUCUGUUUUCAUUCGGUACGAUGAACAAAAACUGCUCAUCUUCCGCUGAACGGCACCAAGGCAGCCAGCAGAAGAGAAAACCAACACCAGAAACCCCAAUAGUGACUUCGAUCCAUUAGAAAAAUUGAUGAGCUUUUCAUUGUUUCCUCGGAGCCAGAUCAUUGGCGGUGUUUUAGGACGGAAUAGGAAAUGAAAUCCCCAGUAACGGAGACACAGAAACCCCUGCUACGGUAAGAUAUCGGUGCACAGAAGACUACUGCUUGAUAAGUCUCGUCGAUUGAUGCCGACGAUUACGUGCAAAGUAUACAAACGACCAUUACAUCCACCCGAAAGAUCCGGUGUCAUGCAUUUACGGAAGGGUUGGUUGGGGAAAGCGUACGGUGCGGGAAGCAGAAAGGUUUCCCCGAUUGAUGCUCUACCUUACCAACUAACAUGCAAAGAGGUGUUCUUGCAGAAACCAACAUCAGGUUCCUUUCCAGCAAUCGGCACAGUGAAAUCUUUAUUACGAUGAAAAUUGUAUUGAAGCUAGUAGUGGAGUAUAUUACUGUUACUACGAAAACAAAUCAGUAACGAGAUCCGCCGCUGGUGAACCGAUGACGCAAAGGAUGAUCGAUUCAAAAUCUUUCACACAUGAGUCGUUGGGUCGAUUCAAAACUUCACGUCCGGUAUGCUAUUGUCACACAGGCUCAAUAAUUUUUUUUGGCUACCGAAGAAUCGCAGAACCACGAGAACCUUCAUUGGACAGCUGAGGACAGUUCCGAUCAUCCUUCUACCCUUUUGGGUGGGUGUUUCGCGAAGGAUUCAAAACAUUGCCCUGGACACUGAAAAGAAUGAAAAUACUUUUAUCGAAUGAUUAUGGCAGGUGCCGCUGUCUUACGAUGGCUUAAUUGGUACUGAUGAUUUGCGAACAAGGACCUUUAACAGUUUUUGCUACUCGUUUUAUCAGUUCUUCAUAGAUACUCAUAUUUUAUCCAUUUCAGAAAUAGAUAGCGGUAUGAGGAGGCUUUCGAUUCUAUCCUUUUUUUGUAAAUAUUGCCUGGCACAAAAACAAAGAAAAAGGGGCAAAUUAUACAUUUGUCGGUGCAGAUAAUGCAAAAAUGUUUGAGUGUACGUAUAAUAUUUUUCAUUAAUUUUUAUUUUAAGAUAAAAAUAAACCUGACAAUACGGCAUCUGUCUGUAGUAAUUAAUAAAUAAAUAAA